rnacentral:misc_RNA from 1 species
AGGAUUCCCGUACUGACGAAAUUGGCGGCUGCAGUAAUCCUAUUUAUACCAUCUCGGGAUCUGAUGAAACGAUCUACAGGGCUCCUGUAAAUCCCAAUACAACAGUCACCGAUGUUUGAAGCACAGAAGACAGUGCUUUAAAGUGUGUGCCAGUGGUUGAUGAUAUAGCAUAAUAAGUGUUAUAAAAAUGACAGAAGAAACUAAAGAUUGUUGUUAAUGACAUCGUUUUGUAUAUAAAUAACUUUAUAUUGUUGAUACUACCAAUCAAUGUCUUAACAUAAAAAUUAAGAAGUAAUUAUGAUUGUUCUUUUCUAUGCCUGUAAAUAUUUCAAUUACUUGUAAAAGCCAAAAUUUUUAAUCUUGAUUUUUUAUGGCGUAAUGUCAUUGUGAUAGAAAAAAUUUUAAUAUUGAAUGAGAUUUGUAAAAAAAAAUUAUCUUUUGUAUAAUAAUCAAUUGUAAAAUUCUUUGAACAAUAAUAAAAAAUUAUAUUUAU